AACGAACGCUGGCGGCAGGCUUAACACAUGCAAGUCGAGCGCCCCGCAAGGGGAGCGGCAGACGGGUGAGUAACGCGUGGGAAUCUACCCAUCUCUACGGAAUAACGCAUGGAAACGUGUGCUAAUACCGUAUACGUCCUUCGGGAGAAAGAUUUAUCGGAGAUGGAUGAGCCCGCGUUGGAUUAGCUAGUUGGUGGGGUAGAGGCCUACCAAGGCGACGAUCCAUAGCUGGUCUGAGAGGAUGAUCAGCCACACUGGGACUGAGACACGACCCAGACCCCUACGGGAGGCAGCAGUGGGGAAUAUUGGACAAUGGGCGCAAGCCUGAUCCAGCCAUGCCGCGUGAGUGAUGAAGGCCCUAGGGUUGUACAGCUCUUUCACCGGUGAAGAUAAUGACGGUAACCGGAGAAGAAGCCCCGGCUAACUUCGUGCCAGCCGCCGCAGUAAAAC
rnacentral:rRNA from 1 species